CGUACAGGUCUCCGUAGGUGAACCUGCGGAGGGAUCAUUACACAAAUAUGAAGGCGGGCUGGAACCUCUCGGGGUUACAGCCUUGCUGAAUUAUUCACCCUUGUCUUUUGCGUACUUCUUGUUUCCUUGGUGGGUUCGCCCACCACUAGGACAAACAUAAACCUUUUGUAAUUGCAAUCAGCGUCAGUAACAAAUUAAUAAUUACAACUUUCAACAACGGAUCUCUUGGUUCUGGCAUCGAUGAAGAACGCAGCGAAAUGCGAUAAGUAGUGUGAAUUGCAGAAUUCAGUGAAUCAUCGAAUCUUUGAACGCACAUUGCGCCCUUUGGUAUUCCAAAGGGCAUGCCUGUUCGAGCGUCAUUUGUACCCUCAAGCUUUGCUUGGUGUUGGGCGUCUUGUCUCUAGCUUUGCUGGAGACUCGCCUUAAAGCAAUUGGCAGCCGGCCUACUGGUUUCGGAGCGCAGCACAAGUCGCACUCUCUAUCAGCAAAGGUCUAGCAUCCAUUAAGCCUUUUUUUCAACUUUUGACCUCGGAUCAGGUAGGGAUACCCGCUGAACUUAAGCAUAUC
rnacentral:rRNA from 1 species